GGUUAAGAGAACACAAGCUAAGACAGUGAGAGGGGAAGACAUUUUAACGAGCCAAAUAACUCCAUGGUGUGUUUCACAAGGCACAAGAGGCUGUGGCACAACUGCAGGGACAGAGCGCUCCAUUACCGAGGCAGGAAUGAGCGGAAGGAGAGGACGGCUAUACAGUAACACCUCUCCAGAGACUACCCUUGAUCCUACAUCCCCACCUCUGUCCUCUCCUUUGCUCUCACCGGUUAUUGGCCAGUCAGGACUUCUCCGGGAUUUCUUGCGGCUGAUGCGGUGAGCAGGACUGAGCUGGGAGGGCACCAAGCAUCGGACUCUCGCGUCCCAGGCUGGGGCCRCGCGGGUUUGGGAAAGCGGAGGACUAAGCUGCAGAGCAGGGGUCAAGACUCCCGGCGGUGACAGCCGGCRCACUGCUCAUCCCACUGCUUCUUUCAUUUGAAAUUGUUGCAGGUACUUCACCUUGCUGGAAUUGAGCUUCUUUUAAUGCGAGCUUUUUCUCUACACUAGGCUUGCCUUGCUCCUCUGUAGCGGAUUCCCUGUCAGUAUGCUGUGCACCUGGUUCCCUGUUAGUAUUUACUAAAUGCUAUAUUGAAACAGGAUCCUAAGUUUAAACUCCCACCUUAUUUAAAUCCCUGUUUAGAAUUAUCAGAGUAAAUCAUAAUUUUCCUACUGGAGGUUAAUUAAUUCUUGUCCAUUGUUUUUGCUUCUAACAGCUAAGUUUUGCUAUCUGGUUUUAAUCUCGCGCUUCCUUUUAAUUAUGCUCACCUUACCCUAUAAUCAUUGCUAGGGUAAAGUAGAAAAAUGAG
rnacentral:lncRNA from 1 species